rnacentral:rRNA from 1 species
AGAGUUUGAUCCUGGCUCAGAUUGGACGCUGGCGGCAUGCUUUACACAUGCAAGUCGAACGGCAGCACGGGUGCUUGCACCUGGUGGCGAGUGGCGAACGGGUGAGUAAUGCACCGGAACGUACCCAGUAAUGGGGGAUAACACAUCGAAAGAUGUGCUAAUACCGCAUACGCCCUGAGGGGGAAAGCGGGGGAUCGUAAGACCUCGCGUUAUUGGAGCGGCCGAUGCCGGAUUAGCUAGUUGGUGAGGUAAGAGCUCACCAAGGCGACGAUCCGUAGCUGGUCUGAGAGGACGACCAGCCACACUGGGACUGAGACACGGCCCAGACUCCUACGGGAGGCAGCAGUGGGGAAUUUUGGACAAUGGGCGCAAGCCUGAUCCAGCCAUGCCGCGUGAGUGAAGAAGGCCUUCGGGUUGUAAAGCUCUUUCGCAAGGAAAGAAAACUUAUCUACUAA